CCUACGUGCUGCAGCAGUGAGGAAUAUUGGUCAAUGGACGGAAGUCUGAACCAGCCAUGCCGCGUGCAGGAAGACGGCUCUAUGAGUUGUAAACUGCUUUUAUAAAGGAAUAAAACGAGGCACGUGUGCCUUUUUGCAUGUACUUUAUGAAUAAGGAUCGGCUAACUCCGUUCCAGCAGCCGCGGUAAUACGGAGGAUCCGAGCGUUAUCCGGAUUUAUUGGGUUUAAAGGGAGCGUAGAUGGGUUGUUAAGUCAGUUGUGAAAGUUUGCGGCUCAACCGUAAAAUUGCAAUUGAUACUGGCAGUCUUGAGUACAGUUGAGGUAGGCGGAAUUCGUGGUGUAGCGGUGAAAUGCUUAGAUAUCACGAAGAACCCCGAUUGCGAAGGCAGCUUACUAAACUGUGACUGACAUUGAUGCUCGAAAGUGUGGGUAUCAAACAGGAUUAGAUACCCGAGUAGUC
rnacentral:rRNA from 1 species